GAUGAACGCUGGCGGCGUGCCUAAUACAUGCAAGUCGAGCGAACAGACGAGGAGCUUGCUCCUCUGACGUUAGCGGCGGACGGGUGAGUAACACGUGGAUAACCUACCUAUAAGACUGGGAUAACUUCGGGAAACCGGAGCUAAUACCGGAUAAUAUAUUGAACCGCAUGGUUCAAUAGUGAAAGACGGUUUUGCUGUCACUUAUAGAUGGAUCCGCGCCGCAUUAGCUAGUUGGUAAGGUAACGGCUUACCAAGGCAACGAUGCGUAGCCGACCUGAGAGGGUGAUCGGGCAAACUGGAACUGAGACAAGGGCCAGACUCCUACGGGAGGCAGCAGGAGGGAAUCUUCCGGAAUGGGCGAAAGCUUGACGGGGCAAAGGCGGGGGAGUGAUGAAGGUCUUCGGAUCGUAAAACUCUGUUAUUAGGGAAGAACAAAUGUGUAAGUAACUAUGCACGUCUUGACGGUACCUAAUCAGAAAGCCACGGCUAACUACGUG
rnacentral:rRNA from 1 species